GAGAGUCUGCAAGGGAGAAAGGUCAGGUUUUGAAGGGAAGAAUGCGAAUCCUCAAGGAUUUUCGUCACUUGAGUUUGGCUAAUGGUGUAGCACACAAGUUACAACCAUGGGAAUGCAAAAGGAUUAAAGCAAAGGAGUACGUUACCACCCAAAACCAAAAAUUCAAAAAAAGAAAAAAAGACAAUUUACUUCCAAGUUGGAAUUUCCAAUGUAUCUAUUUCCUGCAAGAAUUUGUUUCUAACAGUAAUGAAUAUACAAGAACAUUAAAUUUGUGGAACAAAAUGAUUCAGUAAUGAGGGUGUUACAGUACUGUACAACCAGAUGAGUAGCCACAGAGAACCUUAGAAAGCAGCCACCUGCAUUGCAGACAUUACACAAGAAUAUGUAAAGAAAUGUACACUGACCAUGAUAUAAGCACAAAUAUUCAAAAUUAAUACAAUAUGAUUUGUUGCUUUAGGCAUACUAAGGCAGGUAAUUUUUAGCUAAGCAGAGUCGCAACUACUUUGCAGUUGCAUUAGUCCUGCCAUUGCACAACUACUGAUGGGCACACUUCCCCCGUUAUCUUGAAUUUCCAACCUCACUUGGAACUAAAGUAGAGGAAACAAACAAAGGAAAAGGACUAAAAUUACUUUAAUUGCUUAAGAGAAUUUACACAUCUUACUUUACACUGCUCUUUCAAACAUCCAGGUGACGGUAAAUUGUUUAUGUUUGCCUAGGUUGUGCUUUGGAUUUGGAAUAGCAUUAAAAUAAUCAGAACUGAAGCAAGCUUGACAAAGAAGAGCCUGCUAACUAAGAACAUAUAUUCUGAGAAUCCAUGCACAACCAUGCAAGCUCCAGCAUUCUAGGAUCAAAUCAGGAAAAGCAUUCUUCCUGAUACUGGCAGAAUUAACUGGUGCAGUGCCAGCGCCUAUUUUGGUAAUACAAAGCAAAUAUUAGAAAAGAGCUACCUAGUAAUCUCCCACAUCAACAUGGAACUUCUAUACCUAAGGACCUAUGCAAAAAUAAACUGAUCUCUAAAUUGAAAAAUUAGUUGCCGCACGUCAUUAAUCAAAGCAUGGUUCAUAACUAACCAAACAAUCUCCUAAAAUCAGCAUGAACAUAAAAAUGCAAAAUAAUUCAUUGAUACCGGGCUAGCUUUAUAGAGACAAAUAAAGAACAAGUGAAUUACCUCACUGGUUUUGCCACGAAAGUUCAUUUUAAUGCUUGAAAACUUGUGAUGUAAAUUAGGCCAGCUAACGUAACUGAAAAAAAAAAACAUUAAGCUAUUGAAUUGCAGAUACAUCCUUGAUCACAGCAGUGCUAUACUGCACUCAACAAUGCAACAAAUUCAGCUGGCUCUUCACCCUCUUUGAUGAUCUUAACAGGGAUAUCCUUCGGAAGACCCAUUUGAGUUAGAACACGACAACCAACUUGAUUAGAGUCAAUAAAAUUUCCAUCCAUUAAUACUUUGUUGCAAUCUAAGUGAAUCAGACUCUCAUCAAAAGGAAAAGACCUUCCUAUCCAAAAAUAUAGAAUCCUACUCCCAUCUCUGCCUAAACCAGUAGCUGGUGCUAAAAUUGCAAAAGCAGCUUUAGAAUCCAAGUUGCUGGUACCAAAAGUUGCAAUUCUUUCCAAACUGGGCCAGUGGCAAACCAAUGAUUGCAUUAUGUUACAAGAAGAUGAAACAUUUUCCUGAAUCCCAUUUGCGAUGGAACACCCCAAGCCUUCACCCGAAAGACAAUAUCUAUCAGGUCCAUCACAAUUAUUUACAAAGGCAGCUUCUCUGUCAGAUGAGUCAGCACUAACUAGUCUAUCUUGAGAUAUAUUCAACUUGCUUUUUUCCAUUGAAUCUUUGCCUCCUUUAGCUUGAUUCUUGGACUCUAAAACAAUUUCUAUACUAUUUGAAUUACGCCAAGAAAAAGUAUUCUUGUUUAUCCUAGCACCAUCUUCCUGAGAGGCAAGUAAACUUGGAGGUGUGCUAGUCACCCUCAAAUUAUCAGUCAUAACUGGCAGCUUCAAAGACUUAGACAAGCUACCUCUGCGUUCUGCAAGUGAAGGUGAAGAUUUCUUAGAUGUUGAGGAGGUUACUUGGGAACAUUGAUUUGACAUGCUAUAGACAGCACGAUGUCCAGGAGUGUCAGAUGGUAGCCGAGAAGAAGCCUUGGAUGAGAGAAGAGACAAGUUAUCGAAGUUAGACGAUGGUGAAGAUACAAGAACAGAACACGAAGCUGGUGAAGGAGAAUCUAGAGAGGAUUCUGAGAAGUACUUUGAGCUGGUACUAGAAUCAGAAGACAUGGAAUCUGGAGAGAGAUAAGGAGGAGAAGAUGAUGAAGAUGAGGACGAAGAUGAUGAAGAUGGUGAUGAGGAGUGCACGAUCAUCAUAGAAUCUGAAUAGACCCUGGAGAGGAAUAUCUUUGGUGCUGAGAUGAACUCCUUCAUAUCAACAGGGGCAAACUUCCGCCUUAGGACACUCCAACUGCUUUCUCUAGCAGGAAGGUGGAUUUCAUGUUCAUUCUCUGAUGGUGCAAUUGAAGGCACGAAACCUCCCUUGAUUGCUUUCUGGAAAAUCUCGAAAUCAACAUUAUUUACAUCCACUUUUCUCUCACCAGGGCAAAUCUUAAUUGCUGAAGGCCCAAUAUCCACUCCAUGACUAGAUUUAUCCAUCAAAGGUAGAUAAUUUGAAAAAGCAUCCCAAAAAUAAACUGGUUCCUCUCCUUCUUUAACCACUAUAAUUGGCCCUUGCGCUCUCUCAUAACGAACAAUCUGGCAUACAGCCCCUCUAGCAUCCCUUUCCAUAAUGGCCUCACAAUUUUUACCAAUCCAGAUAUAGAUUGUGGAAGGAAUAUGAACAAUAAAGGCACCUCUAGAAUCCAGAGCAGAUGGUGAAGGUUCAUUCAACAUUUUUGGGACAAGAUGCAAGGGAUCAUAUGGUGAGUGUGGGGCAAUUCUAUACAUCCUCAACAAUGAACUAGGACUAAGAGGGAAUGCAUGAACCCUCUUUUGGCACUGUAAUAACUGGCAAGCAAAACCCAUAUUUGGGUCAGCAAUCCCUCUCGCUGCUUUGACAUAUUGAAAGGCAUCAUCAAAACUCUGACCCUCUCUCCACAUAAGAUAUGCAAUCACCAGUGAAGUGGACCGUGAAACCCCUUGGCAACAAUGUACAAAAACUCUCCCACCCUGUUCCCUGACAUCCUCAAAAUAAUCGAAAACAUCAUACAAAAUACUUGUGAUAUCCUCUGAAGGACUAUCCUGCAACCACAGGGUCCUAUACACAAAGUCAGUCUUGAAAUACUCGGGACAAACAAAACCCACACAAUUCAGCACAUGAGUAAUUCCAUUUUGUUUCAAAAUCUCCCUAUCUCUAGCAACUGCAUCCCCACCAAGAUACACAUGCUCAGCUACCUUUGAGCAUUCUUUGUCGAAGAAAGCAAUCUUAUCUCUCUUGACUAACCCAGCAUUUCUAUCCGGGUUUCUUUGGAUGGAAGAUAAAUCAAGUUUCAACCUCUCGCCACACCUGUUACCACUUGGGGUGGUCGGCAGAGGCCACUCGCCUAAAUCGUCAGAACCCGCUUUUGGCCACUCAUCUAAACUUCUACGAGCAAUUGACAAUGGUUGCAAAGGUGGUAAGCAUGACCGUGCUUUACAGUUUUGUUGGGACCGUGGGGUUAAAGGAACAGGGUACCUACGGUUUUGCACGUUACUACUUUUACCAAUAUCAUUAACAUUCGGAUCCAUAACGCAGUCUUUCUCUUCGGCUUCAGGGUUUUGAAGGGCAGUCCUGGAAGAAGACCAGGAUGCGGAGCGCCAGAACAUUUUGCGGGACCCAGCAGCGGAGGGAAGCCGGGGCGAAUCCAGAGGAUUCCCAUUCCCUUCACCCACCAUUCCACUCCACUUCAAAAAGUUUAAAAAAACGCAAGAUUUGAGAGAAACCCAGAAAUCUUUAAACCCUUCCUCGGUGUUCCUUUUCCCCAAUAUGUGUACUUGGAUUGGAGAGCGACCAUGAAAAGGUUAACUAGAAAAAUGAGAAAUGAAGGCCCAUAUCAGAUCAAGCAGUGUCCUACCCUACAGAGCGUCAAUAGUAAGAUUUGAAGGUGAAUCCACGAACAGAUGAAGAUUUAAGAGAAAGAUAGAGAAGGUUUGAAUGAUACGAUGAAUGGCUGAGGAAGAGUAGAGGGCCGGGAAAGGGGUAGAGAGAGCCGGAGAGGGAACUGGGAAAGGGCAGGGGCGCUAGCAGUCCUUUUCAGUUGUGACUUUCUUUCUUUAUUUAUUUGACUGAGGGAGCCAUUAAAACAUUGCUGAUUUGUUUCUGAUAGAUUUUUUGCUUUGUCACUUCCUUUAAUUAAAUUAUUAUUUAUAUUGAUUUAUUAUAAAUUAAAGAAAAAAAU
rnacentral:misc_RNA from 1 species